rnacentral:rRNA from 1 species
UGACAGGUGUGCAUGGUUGUCGUCAGCUCGUGUCGUGAGAUGUUGGGUUAAGUCCCGCAACGAGCGCAACCCUAUGUAGUUGCCAUCAUUCAGUUGGGCACUCUAGCGAGACUGCCGGUAAUAAACCGGAGGAAGGUGGGAUGACGUCAAAUCAUCAUGCCCCUUAUGACCUGGGCUACACACGUGCUACAAUGGCUGGUACAACGAGUUGCGAGUCGGUGACGGCGAGCUAAUCUCUUAAAGCCAAUCUCAGUUCGGAUUGUAGGCUGCAACUCGCCUACAUGAAGUCGGAAUCGCUAGUAAUCGCGGAUCAGCACGCCGCGGUGAAUACGUUCCCGGGCCUU